GUCAAGGCUUAGCAUCUGUGAAUGGAGAGUGAUAACUGCAUAAAAGGGAGAGAGGAUUUUACUCCAAUUCACUCCUGCACUGCACCCCAUUCAUGGGGCAGGCAGAGAGGCUUCUUCAUUUUCGGGUCAGAAUUAUAGGUAUUUGACAUGACAUUCGUGUAGCGGGUGAGGCUAUCACGAGAGGAAAUAUGGUCCUCUAGGCCAGAUUGCCAGGGGUUUUUUUUAUUUCUUUAUCUUUUGUUCCUGUACUUGGAAAUUUUGGAAUUUUGUAUUUAACGACUCAUCGAUAUUAAACGAACCGAAACACAAGGAAUGGUGUCGUGUGUCAUCUUUCUACAUCAGUUUCCGCGU
rnacentral:lncRNA from 1 species